GAUCGCGUAUGUCUAGCCCGACGGGGCAACCCGCCUGUGUGCUGGAAUGUUACCGGUCAUCCGUCUCGAUCACUCCUCUGCUCUUCACUGAGUUGGAGGCUCGGUGCCAUCGAGACCUUUUACUUUGAACAAAUUAGAGUGUUUCAAGCAGGCGUUGUUUGCGUUGAAUACAUUAGCAUGGAAUAAUCGAAGAGGACUUAGGUCCUAUUUUUCGUUGGUUUCAAGGACUCAAGUA
rnacentral:rRNA from 1 species